UCUAAUCUAAUCUUCGCAGAAGGUGAUAAUUUUUUCCCUUUCUCAUUUUUAUUUCCAUUUAAAUUAAUAUCCUAAUUUUAUUUUUAGCCUUCAUUAACUGAAUAUUAAAAAAGAAGGGAAAAUCAAUUCUCUUUUUGUAUAAUUUUUCUUUUUCUUGAGUAAUUAUAUCAGGUAUUUCUUUGAAGAUUUUUCCUCUCUUAUUUUAUUUUUUUUUCCAUUUAGAACAGUUUUGAUUACGGAUUAGUUUUCUUUUUGGUGUUGGAUAAAUUAUAAACUAUGAUCUUUAAAUGGAUUUCUUUUUCUUUUUUUUUUAAUGUUUAUGUGUAUAUAAAGUUUUGUUAAUUUUCUUGAUUUUAACAGUGUUUUAUUUUCAAAGAAAUGUGUAGAUAAGAUUUUGUUGAAAUUGUUGAUUUGUUGUUGGGGUCUCAGGAGAAAAAAUGAGCAGCCGUGCUAGCCGCACUCUUUAUAUAGGUAAUCUUCCGGGAGAUAUUCGUCAGAGAGAAGUAAAAGAUUUGUUUUACAAGUAUGGGCCUAUUGUUGAUGUUGAUUUGAAAAUCCCACCGAGACCUCCUGGCUAUGCUUUUGUUGAGUUUGAAGAUGCUCGUGAUGCUGAAGAUGCUAUUCGUGGUCGUGAUGGGUAUAACUUUGAUGGAUGUCGCUUACGAGUUGAGCUUGCACAUGGUGGGCGAAGACAUUCAUCUCCCGGAGACCGUUAUAGCAGUUAUAGUGGUAGCAGCGGAAGCCGUGGACCUUCCAGGCGCUCUGACUAUCGUGUUAUGGUCACUGGAUUGCCUUCUUCUGCCUCAUGGCAAGAUCUCAAGGAUCAUAUGCGACAAGCUGGGGAUGUUUGCUUUUCUCAGGUCUUUCGUGAUCGUGGUGGUAUGACUGGAAUUGUAGAUUAUACAAACUAUGAUGAUAUGAAACGCGCUAUCAAGAAACUUGACGACUCAGAGUUUCGAAAUGCAUUUUCUCGGUCUUAUGUACGGGUAAGGGAGUAUGGUUCAAGGAGGAGCUACUCUAGGAGUCCCAGUCGUAGCCCAUAUGGCCGAAGCAGGAGCCUAAGCCGAAGCCGAAGCCAAAGCUAUAGUCGUAGUCGUAGCUAUAGCGAGAGGAGCAGAUCUCCUAGGGUUAAAUAUUCUCGCCGAUCUCGAUCUUUAUCUGUUUCUUCACAUUCUCAGGCAGGGUCAUCUCCUGGAUCUUAUAGGUAUCCACUGCUGCACCCCUACCCUCUCCUUUUUUUUUCCCCCCUUAAAAAAAUUGCAUUUUGGUUUUGCUUCUUUUAUGAUAUAUCAUUGAUGUAUUUAUGGUGCUUUUCUGUUGUUACUAUUAUUAGUGAGAUGGUUAUUAGAUGUUAAAGUCUGUUAAAAUCUAUUUAGUUUUAAACAUCCUUUUACAUGUUCAGUUCUGUGGGAUGACCUAUCCGAGAAAAGGCAGAAUAAACCUUAGAUCUAGAAAAUUCUAUCAUCUUCAGUUACUGGGUUGCAAGUUUUCUUACUGAUGCUUGAUGUAUUAAAUCUUAACAGCCAAUUAUAAGUUUAGUUAAUUUACCUUCAGUUGCAAUGCAUACGUUCUUUUGCUGCCCUUUCCUUGAACCUCUGUCUGGUUGGUAAAAGAUUUGUUUGUGUGAUUGAUAGGAUGGGUGGUGCCAAUUGGCAUGCAUCUCAACUUGAGUUUUAUGAGUUUUAUGAGUAAUUGGCUGACUUGAAGCUAUCUAUGUGUGUGUGUUUCUGUCCUGCCAUAUUUGGUAUUUAAUGUUGAAGAAUUUGUUACUUUGCACAAAUGACUGGUCAAUGUUAAACUUUCUUUGGCAUGUGAAAUAAGGAUAUCUGAAAUCUGAUUGAAUAAGUCUUCUUUUUCCCCUCUGAUUUUAAGCAUGUUAUUUUCUAGAUUUUAAAACUUAUUAUAAAGUGCCAUAUGUUCUUAAUUAAUCCUUGUCAAUUCCACGGACAAGCUUUAGACCCAUUUUUUCUUUAAGGGUGGAAAGAGGUCACAGAGAAGGGGUUACCAGGUUGGCCAGUUGUCAUACUUUGUUUACAAGGGUUGCUCAUUUGCUUACCAGAUCUGGCUUUGUGCAGUGACCUGGGAUUGGAUGUUAAGAACUUGAUGUGAUGUGGUGCUCAUAUCUGCAUCUCUUUGGUGGUUGAGGUAAUGCGAUUUUUGUUGAUGAGCACCUCUCAAACAUCCUAACAAUCUUAUAAUGCUGUUGUGGUGAUGUGUCAUUUAGUGCUAGAAUUGAUCAAGUGUGGAUGGGUCGCAAAUAAAGCUGGAUACUCAGAUCUAAGUGCUAUUCCUACCAUCCCACACAUCAGCUGCAUAAACAAAACUCUUCCCCCUGGACUUGGUGAUACAGAUAGGGAGGGUGUAGUUCUCCUCUUAUCUGGUAUGGAUGGGGAGGAUGUCUUAACUUUGGCCACUGGUUCUAUGGUGCUCUAGAAUUUUUCUUUCUUCUACAUGUUGACUAUUUUCUUAAUCUGCUGGGAAAGGCCAUUAUGAAAAGUGUGAGGUUGUAUUUUAUCAUAUGGUGCAUUUAAUUUUCAUUUUUUAAGUCGCUUCUAAAGAUAGGUGGUAUUGUCUGUUUCUUUUGGUUGCUGGUCACUCUGAGGUGGAAGUGGCAAUGAGGCUUUUGGAUCAAGGAUUAUAAUGGGUUCUUGUGGAUAAUUGGGUUGUUUCUGGAAAUUUUUGCAGAUCAAGGUCAAGAUCAAGAUCUCCUCUUGCAUCUCCUUCCAGCAAACGAGCAGGUAGAAGCCCAACCAAACGUGGUAGAAGCAAAAGCUAUGGAUCUCGAUCCCGUUCACCUGUGAGAUCUGAUCGAAGCCGAUCAACAGGCUCUAUGGACUCGAGGGAUGGAUAUUGAAGAUUUUUCUCUGCGUAGUUGUAAAAUCUAAUUGGCCUGGUGGAAGGAAACCUUUUAAAAAAAAAAAAAAAAACCCUAGAUGUAGCUUAAACAUACGAAUCAUUACAUUUCGAGCUAUUUUUUUCAAUUUAUGAUGUCACAUUUGCUUUUUUAACUGAUGUUGGAGAAUGGAGAGGCCAUUCAAAUCGAUGUUUGACAUGUUUGAAUAAGUUGUCAUGUACGCUUAUGGGGAAAUUGACCUGAAAGAUGUGAUUAUGUUAAAUAAGCUGAGCUGAAAAGUUGAUGGACGAAGACACAAUUCAAAAUAGCGUCUCAAAGCCGGAUGUUAUUUAUAUUUACAAUCUGAACUGUUUUAGUAUUCUUUUUGUAGCGAAUCUUUGCAUUGGACUGAGCAUGUCAUUUAUAAUUAAAUUUAGAUGCUAGGAUGCGAUUUUUAAUAGCAUUCAAGAUUUAUUUUUAAUAUAAAUAUUUUUUAAUUUAUAAAUUCAAAGAGAUUUGAAUGCUAAUAUAAUUAGUGUUUUGUUGUAAGAGCAAACAAGUUGGGAACACUAAUUACAUUAGUGUCUUGAUGUUUGUCUCAAUUCAUGUGUAAUGUGAAACGAGCUGGGAUGUUAAUAUGGAUUCAUAGUUUUGCUUGAAUUACUUUUUGCUGUUAAUAUGGGGUUUGAUGGGAAAAUCUCAAAUGGGACACAAGUGGAUUGAGAAGCCAUUUUGAAUUUUUGUCCAACUUUGUGAAUUUCAUUAAGAGUUGGCUGUAUCC
rnacentral:misc_RNA from 1 species